rnacentral:sRNA from 1 species
AGAUGUCUUUCUCAGUUGCUCUCUACCAUAUUUUUUGAGACAGGGCCUCUCAUUGAACCAGGAGGUCAUGGAUUCAGCCAGGCUAACUCCUGGGAUCCGAUCUGCUCGCCUCUUGCCUGAUCCUCCCACCCCUACCCCACAGGACUGGGAUUACAGGUACAAGCCUGUACCUAGCUGUUAGGUGGUACUCGGGAUCUGAACUGGGAUUUUCAUGCUUGCAAAGGUGAAUCUCUCCCCGCCCACUCAGAGGCUUCCAAGCUAAAGUUGAGGAACUGAUUUAAAGACAAACUCCCAGGUCCUUAACAUUUUAUCGUAAAGCUGGCUUUUAUGUCUUUCUGACAGGAAUGCUGGUGAGGAUGCACUUGUGGGGGUGGGACCACGGGACAGACCAGGGAUCUGCUCUGGGUCAGAUAGUGAGGUCAGUGGCAAGAGGGAAGUAGUGAGAAUCAACUCAAAGAGAUUCUUAGAUUCAGUGUUGUUCUGUCCUGGGGAGCACACAGGAGGAAGCAGGGAAGCGCUCCAUCUGGCUUAGGAUCUGUCCUCAGAUCCUGAGUACCACAUAACAGCUAGGUACAGCCUGGGGCUGCCAUGCCCAAGGCCCACAGAUGCCAGGCCACGAACACAGAGAAGACACACACAGUCUAUCAUUCCAAUUGGCUCAGCUCCCCCCUCUCCCCGUCAUCCCCUUCCCCCGGGAUGUGUGUGUGGUGAGAGAGGAGAUUGCAACAGAAAGUGACAGGGCUGAUUAAAGGCACAGCAAAUCAGGGCCACAAGGAAAGGUUAAAGGGAUGGCAGCUAUUUAGCCUGGAGAGGGGUGGUGCGGAACAGUUCCCGUCCAGUCUGUGCAGACUGGUUAGUAGAUGCAUGCAAGGCAGCCACCCCACUUAGCCACAGAUCUGGAGAUGACGGCACCCCCAAACUGGCCAAGCACUUCUGUGGGGUGGGGGCGAGGCUGCUCUGGAGACAGGCGGAGGAGGAGGCGUAAUUAUCAAGGCUCUUCUGUGGUCUCUGAAGGCCCCUCUCCAUUCCCCUUUGUUUUCUGCAUCUGUCAUUAUGUCGUGCAAACCACAGCCGGGCCUUUUGACAGCAUCGAUAUCUGCUUUCCUACACACACUUGGAAGGUAAUGUGGCUGUAAAUUGAACAAGUUAGAUAAAUGCCAGUACAAAGAAGAGAUUGUGUCUAGUUUUGUAGAGCCUUGUGACGGCCUCGUCCCCAACCGGCAUGAGUCUUCCUUUCCUCCACCACCUCCGGCCUUCUCUGGUCUAUCUGCUUCCUGAUUGACAGCCCAGGAGUCCUUAUUUGCUCUGCUUUUUCCUGAAUCUAUCACUCUUGACACUUUGCAAGGCCUUUUGCUUCAUUUCAAUUGCUUUUUGUUUCUUUGUUUUGGUUUUGUUUUUGUUUUUGUUGGAAACAUUUUCUCUUUCUGCUAGGUCAAGCUUUCUUACUCCUAUGGCCAGGCCAACAUAGCAUAUACAAAGGCCAGCCAGCCUCAGUUUCUCCUGGGACACACCCAGAGGCCUUUGGCCUGAGCCUCCUCAGAAUCCUGUAACUAGAGCCUACUCUGAUUCUCAACUGAGAACGGAAAGGAAUAUGGCUGUGGAAGGAAGCAGGGUCCCUACGAGCCAUUCUUCCACAGGCUUCUGUCCUAGCAUUGGGCUAUGAUCGGGUCGGGGGCUGGGACGUCCCGUGGUAAACUGUAUUUUGUUUUAGUCUUGCUAUUGAAGAAUUGAGAGUAUCAGCAAACUUCACCUGACAGGAGCAUGGUCUCUUGAGUUGACUCCAAAGGCCGCCUUCCCACCAAGACGUUCUUCAGGAAGCAAGAAAGGUAGGUCUCCCCACCUGCCAUUACCACACCAGGGACCACAUCUGCCAUGGCGAGCCCAGCUCAGGAGGUCAAAGGCAGCAACGAGCAUGUGACAGAGGCUUGGGGCUAGACAUGGGCAGAGACAACUCAGUGAAGAAUCCUGAGACACGCUGAGCCCAGAGCGAAUCUCUGUGUUCUCCCUGUAGUGGUGGGGACAGGCAGAAGGGACGUCCGGCUUGAAUUCUUUAGGGCUCGGCAGCAUGCGGCUCAGGGAUGACACCCACCAGGACACAGUGCUCAAGAAGACAGGAACAUAGAACUGCCUGCAAUUCUGGAGCUUUUAUGAUCCCUUCUCUAAGAGGUUACACUUCUGGUGACGAGACAAGACUGGAAAUUCAUGGAGCUGCCACAGAGACAAUUUGUUCUCAACGUGAGUUAUCAGAUGGAAUGAGGGAGCCAAGGAAGAGGUUGUGCAGGUCUGGGCCUCUGAGACCUGGGCAUCCCUCAUUUUAAUGCACAUCCAGUGUCCCCAACUCUGGCUGCCCGCUGUUCUUGGCAGUGACCAGUUUGACAGGGACUAGAUGGCGUGGGCUGCAUUUGCCUUGGUGUGUUGCUACCUCUCUUGAUGGUGAUGCUAGGCUUCUUCUCCUUCUUCUUCUUCUUCCUCCUCCUCCUCUCUUCCUCUCGAUUCUGAUCUCUUCUGCUUCUUCCCCCCACAAGCACAGGGGGAGCACAGGGGUCCUUGAAUCUGCAGAGAGGCCUGUCCAUCUCUGUGCUCCAUUCCACUGGAAAACUCAGAACAAUUCCUAUUAUUUUCGGUUCCCAGACCUUGAAUGUGUCAGCCUUCAGGUUCACUUCCUACGCCUCUCUCCGGCGCCCGGAUCUGCAAGUAAUUUAACCUUGUUUUUAUAGAGCGCAAAGACGUCCCGCUUGUUUACACUGGAGACAAAUUUUCCUCAAUUGACAUAGUCCUAUUGAUGAAAUAAUGACUUUCUUCCUCAUUUAAAGGUAAUUUUGGCUGGUGUCAUGACACGCAGGAGAAAGUGAAAGGCCCCUGUGUCCCACUGCUGAAGGGCAGGCUCUUGCGGCUCCGAGCCUAGGCUUUCUCUCACCUGUUCUGAAGCAUCUCCGGCGGUCCAGGGAGGCUGCUGCCCAGACCAGAGGAGUUUCCAUGAACAGAAAAGGAGUGCCACAAGAACGUGUCUAAAAAGUGCCAGAUGCCAGACAUUCGGAUACCCAAGAACUUUAAGAUGAUGGAGUUUUGACUUCCCGUCUGAGCGUUGUAUGUCACACUCUGAUAUAAGCUGUGGAAAUGGUUUGAAGCAAUAGGAACCCAGACAUCUCAUGCUUGCGGACGCAGGCUGACUGUGGCAGACAUGACAUGAAAGUUGAACAACAAGCAUGCCUGUCAUUUGAAAGACCUGUGAUGGAUAAACAUUGAGUGGGGCCAAUGGAAGAAGACAGAGAGAGAUGAAGAAUAGAGGCCCCUGGUGGAUAACAAGAACGUGUGAACUAGACCGCCCUCCUUCCGGUAUCUGGGUAAACACGCGGAAGCUGUCAGAGAUGAUGCUUCCGGCGGUGUUUGCGUCUUGACCUGUUAGAGAAGAGGUGUCUUUUCACCCCAGAGUAUCAAACAGAAAGCUCCCUUUGGCCUCAAGAGUACAAGACAAAAACCAGGAGGCUGACUUUCUAGAGCCACACCGCGCUUUCUAGAAUCACACUGUGUGAACAUCACUCAGACGCUGAGGGGGCGUGCUUGAAUGAAAACCAUUAUAACUUUGAUGGAGGUAAACUCAGGCAAGACUUAGCUCAAGGGUAGGUAGGGUUUGGUCUCUAACUCGUUAUACAAACAGGGUGCCGCAUUUGAUGCAUAGGAACCAACGUUACUGGCAUUUCUAAGGGGCUCCACCCAUAUCUGAAUGUCCUCUCCUGAGUGGCACUUGAGCAGAACUAGACUGCCAGUCCUUUCCCUGCCUGGGACCUGGUUUCUCUUACAACCUUGCUCUGUACAACAGUUUACUAGCACCCUGGGAAUGGCCCAGAUCACAUCAGUGUUCACAGUCAGAAGCACCUGGCUGUUUGGAUCCAUGUGCCUUUGGGACUCUGUUACUAAAAUCUUGUUUCUGGGACCACCGGUCUAGGUUUGGUUUGGUUUGGUCGGCUUCUGUCUUACCUAGACCUACCUUGAGGCCUCAGAGAACAUUCUACAGGUCGGCAGCAUCAAAACACCUAAAACAAACGACCAAAGUUCAACUUGCCUUGGAGAAAAGAGAGCUAUGUUCUUUUGGUCCCAAGCCAUGUGCCAGGGCUGGAACCAAACAGAGCUGGCCUCAACCCAUUGUUCAACAUCACACGAUCUGAGGACAAACAAACGAGAAAGUAGAUGGUGACCAGAAGAGAGAGCAGGUCACGCAUUUGUGCAAACUGUUGAUCUUGUCUUUGAGAGGCACGACUGUCUGUCUGACCAGUUUGUCCUGAUAAUAGUUACAAACUGUUCACUUUAUUGUGCAAGUCUGAAACCCCGAGUUCUUUACCGAGUUCUCUCCUUCUACCAAUAACUCGGUUUGGAAAAAUUAUCUGUGAUAAAUUUUGUGUCGGAUGCCCAAAGAAAAAUGUAUAUCUUUUUUUUUUACCAUGUAGAAUUAGGUUGUUCUUAAAUAUGUAAUCGCAUAGGAAAAGAGCUAUGGCGCUAUUCCUAAGGGCUGGCCAGCCUACGGGUGUCCCUGGCCAUAUGGUCCUCAGGCACGUUUUACAGAAGAGAAAAUUGAGGUUCAGGUCAGACGAGUAACCUGAGUUCAUGAGUUAGACAGUAAACUCGACUUAUAAAUGAGAGUCAGCGCAGGCAUACAUUUUUUUUUGCAGCCCACUUCAAUAAACUUCCAACCUCUCCUCUUGCCCAACACUUACCAGAGGUAGUAGAAGAGAAAAGAUAUUAGGACAUAGGGUAAGAGGACCUGUUUAGGAACAGUUCUUUGGGGGUCGAGCUUGAUCUUCUUGGGCAGCUGUGUAGUCCCAGAGCAAGCACUCAAUACGACUCAGUAGCUUCAAUCCAGUCCUCUCAGCAGGCAGACCCCAUGCAUGAACCAGCAGACGUAGUUCAAUCCUGAAGGAACCGCAAGGCUCACCAACUGGCCUGAGGAAUGACAGACUGCUACAGGAACCUCAUGAGUGAUUCUUUGGCAGGUUUCUCUCAAUGGCAGCAUCACCACAAGUUGAGCUCAACAGUGCUAUGAAAGGCUAAACAAUACAUGUGUGUCUUUAGUGAAGAAUAGAAAGACAGAGCAAACCAAACCAAUGCUCUGACAGCUCCCACUAUUUGAGGGGCCACAUUUAUAUUCCUUCAUUACGGGCCCAAGGAGAUAUGUUUUCAUGGUGAGUCCAAAACCCAGCCAGGCUGACCAAAGAUUAACCUUGGUGACAAGCCCAAGUGUUCAUUCUCUAGCUUCUCACCAGCUUCCAACUCCUGAAUGGACCCAGAAGGCUGCCAAGGCUGAGGAACGCUGAUGGUACCAACACAUGGCAGCACUGUAGUUCACUGGUGUGAACUACAGCACCCACUAUUAUUUUGGGAGCAGGAAAAGCCAAAGGCAAGAUCUCACCAUGUUAUUUCGGGGCAAGUCCACCAGAGAACUCACACAGACACACUCAAGGCCAAAUAGAAAGUCUACAUUGCCAGUUGGCAACUGCACAGUUGGGUUUAAUUUGCCCAAACCGUCCAGCCCCAAGCCUCGCUAGUCUUUUAUGCACAAAAAACACAUUUUAGUAGACACAUUUCGGUUAGCAAGAGUAGUUAGCAAGAAGAAAACCACAGAAGCCUAAAAGCAAGGUUAGGACAUGGAGGGACUUUUCUGGAUCCUAGAACUUUGGACUUGGUCUUUGUUCUUGGCUUGGUAGGUGCUGGGCUGCACAUUGGCUUUUAAGGUUGGAAUGGUGUCUCUCAGAGGCCACCAGAUGUGUUAAGGUCUGGGGGCUUGUUACAGUGUAGCCCAGGAUGGCCUUGAAUUCACCCCCGAGCUCUGGAAUUACAGGGAGAUGUGCACUGCUCUUGGCAUUCAUUCUUUAUACUAGUAACAACCAGACACACAUAAGACACCGGGAUAAAAAGGUUUGCUGCACUUUAAAAGAGAAAGGGUUUCUUGAAAAUAAAAAAAUGUGACAUGUAAUCAGAUUGAAGUUUUAGAAGAUUACAGUGUCACUCUUAUUUAAAUUUGUGUAUUCGUUAACAACCAUUGCCCUCGGAGUACCCCCUCCCAUCGGUUAUAUCACUAGGCAGCCAGAUAAAUUACGACGCCAGGAAUAUCCUGCUCUAUUGCAGAUUAAAAAUAUUAACUGUGACCAUGCUUAGUUUUUAAAAUCAAAAUGUCACUGUUCAAAUAAAAAAAAAGUACACUUGUUACCAUUUACAUUUUUCUUUUAAGUGGAUACGUUUAAGUCUUAAAAAGUAAAUCUAAUGCAUGUGAAAAAUAACUCUUCUUUUCAUUUUUUUUACAAAAUGUAUUCAAUGUAUGCAAAUUUUAAUAGGAUCACAUUUUGCAUUAAUCAUUUUUAUUGUUGAGAGCGGCUAUGAGUCAGAAGAGCUGUAAAAGAUGAAAUGGGGGCAUAAAACUCGGAAGCUUAAGAGAAACAGAAACUCGGGGGGCGGGGGCGCGCGGAGCGAGAUCUACACAGAUCUCUGGACCCUGGAGAAACGAGGGAAGUGCGUGAGUUGGACGGCUCUCAGCGCCUCCCACGUGACAUUGCCACUCAGGGCUUUGCAAAUGACUUACUUCAGACAGGUCUAGUUAAUGAUGAAAACAAUGAGAAAUUAAAAGGCGGUUCUUAUCAAGUUGAGACCCUAGAAGCAAGAGGUGCAGCUGGUGCCUGUCUGGGUGACAAGGAGAAAAUUCCAUCUGUAAAACGAGCCCAGUGGGAAGAGAGGGAGAGCCCUGGCCUUCGAGCUCUGCUGGCUCCCUGGAGCCUGAUUCUGGCUCUGACUGACUCUUUCCUCCCGGCACAUUCUCAUCUAAGUGAUUUAUUCCUCUUGGCUAAACAUGGCACAGCACUGAACAUUUUGUUUCACACCAGAAUUCUUUCAGUCGGAAAAAGACGUUGUGGAAAUUGGCUCUUAAGUUCAAAGGCAAAAUGCUUUGUGAAUUCUGUAACAGUUAUUGCCAGUCUUAAGGCAGCUCUAACCAGGGAGGAAUUUCAGAAAGAAUUUCACAGAAAAGCACACAAGCGACUCUCACGGAGGAACAGAGGUAAAUAAUCAACAAGCUGUAAGGGACACUGACAGAAUAGCUCUAAAAUUAGAGCCAAUCAGGACAGAGCUUCUUGGGGUCUUUGUAGAGAACAGGAAAAACCGGGUAUGGUCCAUGCCAUUUUUAAUCCCUGCACUCAGGAGGUACAGGCAAGUGCAUUUCUAUAAGUUCGAGGCCAGCCUUCUCUACAUAGUGAACUCCAUGCUAAUCUAGGGAAAAAACAAACAAAUAAACAAACAAACAAACAAACACAAAAUGUUUCUGAGUUUGCUCCCAAGUGGCUCAAACACGAACUGAAGGUUUUAAAAUCCUCUCCUUCAAUUCAGAAAGUGCGGAAGUCCCAUGAACCCCCGAUAAUGUAUAAAACUUGGGUACAUCCUCGUACAUUAGAAUUUUUUUGUUGUGUGUGUGUUGUAAGUGACAUACAAUGGAUCCAGAGCAGGUUAUCUCAAAUGGAGUUUAGAUAAAGUGUAGGUGGAAACCUGUGCAUCUUGGGGAAGGGUACAAGGAAAGUCUGGAGUAGUUGAAAACAAGAUUGCUGACUGCACUGAGCAGCUUGCAGCCUUCCUUGGGUGGCCACUGUGUAGUUUCACAUCAUUGACCUCGGGUUCCUUGACUCAGAGGGUUGUAGAGAAAACCUGACACUGACUUCUUUCUCUUUCCAGGUCGAAAGUUCCUAGAAAGUACAUAGCUCCUCUCCUGAUGAGAACCAUUCACUGUGGCCAGAACGUGUCUGGGACAGUAGAGGUAACCAUGUGCACAGUGUAGAAUUAUAGUAAGGAGAAAAAUAACAUAAAGGUAGUUAAGCUGAGUGGUAUGCAUCAGUGACUGCCAACAUUAGGGUAUCUGAGGGAGGGGGAUAAUAAAUCCAGACUGCCUAGGGCUAUGUCAUGAGUUCACGAGCAGCCUGUGAAAAAAAUCUAUGAGACCCCCUAUCUCAGAAUAAACUCUGAAACAGUAAGAAGGCUGGGGACAUCACGUGUCAUUCACGCACGUCUCUGAGUUCAAGGCCAGCCUGCUCUACAUAGUUGGCACGAUGUGCUUGUGGUCCUAGGUUCAAUCUCAACACUGUGGAAAAAGACGAGAGGGCUCAGUGUUGUUUCCUGGAGACAAAAUUCACACUUAGGGAGUAUUUUGUGCCAGUGUUGUAUCAAAUGUUUGUUUGUUUUUUUUUUACUGUAGAAGAAAUAAUAUAUACUUUGACCUGGGAACUGGAAAAGAUGUUCUAUUGCAACAGGUAUUUGUAAAAGCCAAGCUUUCUAAAUAUGAAAGUGUUCGUUUCCCUCAGUUCUAUAUGGUAAAAAAAACAUGCAAAGUGUCAUUAUGAAUAAACUUCAGAAGCCACUUAAUAAAUUAUCAAUAUUAAACAAAUUGUAACUGUCUUGGUUGUAUUGUCCAGAAAAAAAAAGGUUUAGAAGUUCUCAGAAGGCUCUGAAAAGACGGAUAAGGCUGUUAAAUAAAUUGAAUUAAAAAAAACCCAUCUUUUUCAUAGGCAAUUGAAGGGCAAGCCUAUAUAAUAGUUUAGAAGUCUGUGUCUACACAGUUCAGGUAGAAUGCAUCAGAGGUCAUGGCGAAGCCUUACACGUGUGAGAUUACAUGAUCAGAAGCAAACAAGGAACCUGAAAUACACAGAAAUUUCACUGAUUUUAUUUUAAUACCCGCUGUGAAACAUAUAGUUCUUGUCAACUGAGAAAGUAUGCCUUUAAUGUUUAGCCAUCGGGUUCCAAAGGAUGGUGAAGGCUGGCUUUUAUUGAUGUCUUGUGGUUGCUAAAGAAAAAGAUACAUGCUCCAGGCCUUGGCUGAAAAUGUGGAAGCAUUCUUUGAGCAAUGGUUUCCAUUUUAACAAGGAGAACUUCACCUCUCUCCAUAGGUUGGUGGUGUUGCUUGGGACAGUUCAGCAAUGGUGCACACUGCUCUCAGGUCCCUCUGAAGAUGAAGCACUUCCUUUGUUCCUUCCUUGCCUGCCCACAUCUUUCUUUCUCAUGUGUAUGUCUACUGCAGCAUGUGCAUGGAGGUCAGAGGUCAACUUUCAGUCGUCAGUUCUCUCCCUCCACCAUGGGAGUCCAAGGAUCGAACUCACAUCCUCAGGCUUGCUGGCAAGUACCUUACACAGUGAGCCAUCUCACUGGCUCUAAAGUUGGAACACUUCGG